GUCAACGCCUUAAACUAUGAAUACUAAGUGUCGGCGGUUUACCGCCGGUGCCGCAGCUAACGCAUUAAGUAUUCCGCCUGGGAAGUACGGCCGCAAGGUUGAAACUCAAAGGAAUUGACGGGGGCCCGCACAAGCGGUGGAGCAUGUGGUUUAAUUCGACGCAACGCGAAGAACCUUACCCAGGCUGGACAUGCAGGUAGUAGAAGGGUGAAAGCCCAACGAGGUAGCAAUACAAUCCUGCUCAGGUGCUGCAUGGCUGUCGU
rnacentral:rRNA from 1 species